ACGCGAGCUGGGUUCAGAACGUCGUGAGACAGUUCGGUCCCUAUCCGUCGCAGGCGUAGGAAAUUUGAGAAGACCUGUCCUUAGUACGAGAGGACCGGGAUGGACGUACCUCUGGUGUACCCGUUGUCCUGCCAAGGGCAUGGCUGGGUAGCUAUGUACGGAAUGGAUAAGCGCUGAAAGCAUCUAAGCGCGAAGCCAACUUCAAGAUAAGAUUUCCCACCGCAAGGGCAAGACCCCCGAAAGACUA
rnacentral:rRNA from 1 species